rnacentral:rRNA from 1 species
CAGUAGCCGCGGUAACACGUAGGGUGCGAGCGUUAACCGGAAUUACUGGGCGUAAAGCGUGCGCAGGCGGUUAUAUAAGACAGAUGUGAAAUCCCCGGGCUCAACCUGGGACCUGCAUUUGUGACCGUAUAGCUAGAGUACGGUAGAGGGGGAUGGAAUUCCGCGUGUAGCAGUGAAAUGCGUAGAUAUGCGGAGGAACACCGAUGGCGAAGGCAACCCCCUGGACCUGUACUGACGCUCAUGCACGAAAGCGUGGGGAGCAAACAGGAUUAGAUACCCCUGUAGUCCCUGUCUCUUAUAC